rnacentral:rRNA from 1 species
UACGAAGGGGGCUAGCGUUGCUCGGAAUCACUGGGCGUAAAGGGUGCGUAGGCGGGUCUUUAAGUCAGGGGUGAAAUCCUGGAGCUCAACUCCAGAACUGCCUUUGAUACUGAAGAUCUUGAGUUCGGGAGAGGUGAGUGGAACUGCGAGUGUAGAGGUGAAAUUCGUAGAUAUUCGCAAGAACACCAGUGGCGAAGGCGGCUCACUGGACCGUUGUUGACGCUGAGGUGCGAAAGCGUGGGGAGCAAACAGG